AACAAGCAGCAAAUUCCUCUUCCAGGUUGGGCACAGAGCAUCAAACAACAGACUGAUGCCACUGUUUUUGAAAGAGAUGUUUUCAGUUCAAAAAGAUCAGGUGGACUUGUUGAUGGAUGAACGUAAGGGCAUGAAGACAACAGCUGGUUUUUAAGUAUAUGUGAUGAUCCAACCUACCCAGAUAUGCCACAAAGAUAUGGCCAACGGCUCUUGGUGAUUAGAGUUGGAUGUUGUCUUCAUCAGAAGCCAGACAUGGAGAAUCUAUCCAAAUUAUGGACGCACGGUUUUGUCACCAAACAAAGCCUAUUGGGGAGCUGGAUAUGAAGCUUACUCGGUGAUUUCACGUGCAAGAUUGUCAUGUUAGAUUGCACUGUCAGAGAAAAUGUGUUAAUUGCUAUUAUUUUAGACUUGUCAGUUAUACUGAUAGAAAAUGUGGGCUGCGACGACUCCGGGAAGAAAAGUGUUAUAAGAGAUUCCAAGUGUGUUUGAAUCUGUUAAAACUAGGGCAAGUCCGCCAGUGUUGUUUUUGUUUUCUCAUUUACAUAAAAAGA